UACGGAGGAUGCGAGCGUUAUCCGGAUUUAUUGGGUUUAAAGGGUGCGUAGGCGGCUUUUUAAGUCAGCGGUGAAAUUUUGCAGCUUAACUGUAACAGUGCCGUUGAUACUGGGGAGCUAGGAUUUGGUUGCUGUGGGUGGAAUGUGUGGUGUAGCGGUGAAAUGCUUAGAGAUCACACAGAAUAUCGAUUGCGAAGGCAGCUCACAAAGCCAAGAUUGAUGCUGAGGCACGAAAGUGUGGGGAUCAAACAGGA
rnacentral:rRNA from 1 species